GCUGUCUCCUCCUACAGACCUUUGUUCUCUCUUCUAAUAUGGUAAGGAAUCUAGCCUGUUUUUUAAUAAGGGCAAUUGUUUUCUUAUACCAUAGGCAAUGUAGGCUUGGAAAAUUCAGCUAAAGAAUGGAGUAGAAGAGAGUCGAUGUUGGUACUGGACUGACUACAUUCCACACAGCAUUUUUCUUAGAGUCUGCAUGCCACAAUAUUGAAAGUAAGAAGCCAAACUGAUAAUAAUGGCUAGAAGAAAAUCAAGAAACUGCAUUUUCUCUGAGGAGGCCACCAUCAGAGUUAAAAGGCUGUGGAGUGAAAGAAGGACAUCGUGACUUAAAAGGGCAACCUAGGAGUGGGCCUAGCUACAAAAGUACAGAAUUACCAAUGCAUUACAUAUACAAAAUUAAAUAUUUAGAAUACAAAAUAAAUAUUGCCAUAAUUUCUUUUUGCUAUUUGAUAAAAACAUAUGGAAUCUGUUAAUGGGGCCCCUGUUAAGGUUUUGGAAAGAAUCUUUUCGAGAAAAGAAGUUAAAGUCAAAAGCCUUAUUAGCCUUAUGAUAAAUCUGCCUGCAGUCCAACUGAUAUAAACUGCACUAGAACAAAGGUCUCAUUCACCACUUUCUCAUUUCAGAGAGCUUCUCAUGGAAGCAUUGGUGAUCAGCCUUCACAGUGCUGGCCCUAAAUGUUCGGAAUGUUCUCAGAACACCACUGUGCUUUUAAAAUACAGCUUGAGUAGUAACAUAGAUAUAAAAAUGCUUUACAUGGUUGUAAAGUUCUUCAUAUUACAAUAUGAAUAUAAAAAAUUUAUUUUAUCUCAAUUACUAUUCAAAGUUAUCUAAACCUUCAGUGAACCCAUUUUACCUUCUAUAUAGCUCUUUAGAGUUUUGUUUUAUUAAUACUAUGAUACAUUACCUUUUAUUUUUC